rnacentral:rRNA from 1 species
CCUACGGGUGGCAGCAGUGAGGAAUAUUGGUCAAUGGGCGCGAGCCUGAACCAGCCAAGUAGCGUGAAGGAUGACUGCCCUACGGGGUGUAAACUUCUUUUAUAAAGGAAUAAAGUGAGGCACGUGUGCCUUUUUGUAUGUACUUUAUGAAUAAGGAUCGGCUAACUCCGUGCCAGCAGCCGCGUUAUAACGGCGGAUCCGAGCGUUAUCCGGAUUGAUUGGGUUUAAAGGGAGCGUAGAUUGGUUGUUAAUUCAGUUGUGAAAGUUUGCGGCUCAACCGUAAAAUUGCAAUUGAUACUGGCAGUCUUGAGUACAGUUGAGGUAGGCGGAAUUCGUGGUGUAGCGGUGAAAUGCUUAGAUAUCACGAAGAACUCCGAUUGCGAAGGCAGCUUACUAAACUGCCACUGACAUUGAUGCUCGAAAGUGUGGGUAUCAAACAGGAUUAGAUACCCUAGUAGUC